rnacentral:rRNA from 1 species
AGGAUAAACGCUGGCGGCGUGCCUAACACAUGCAAGUCGAACGCGCUUUCGGGCUUCGGUGCGAGAGCGAGUGGCGGACGGGUGAGUAACACAUGGGUACCUACCUUGGAGUGAGGGAUACCGGCAAGAAAUCGCCGACAAUACCGCAUAGGCUUCUUCACAAGGGAAGCAAAGUGACGCGAGUCACGCUUUGAGAUGGGCCUGUGGCCGAUUAGCUAGUUGGGGGGGUAACGGCUUCCCAAGGCGACGAUCGGUAGCUGGUCUGAGAGGACGAUCAGCCACACUGGGAUUGAGAACGGCCCAGACUCCUACGGGGGGCAGCAGUGAGGAAUUUUCCGCAAUGGAGGCAACUCUGACGGAGCAACGCCGCGUGCAGGAGGAAGGUUUUCGGAUCGUAAACUGCUUUUCUCGGGGACGAGCAAGGACGGUACCCGAGGAAGAAGCCCCGGCUAACUACGUGCCAGCAGCCGC